AUAAGGAGAUGAGUCAUCUGAGAGCGGACAUUUGAAGAGACAGGCUCUGUGUCACAUGAAUCUGAGCAUUGGAGCCCACUCCUUUUGGAGAGUCGGACUGAGGAGCUCAAAUGGGACGAGAUAAGAUUCAGAAAUCCAAACAUAUUGCCUCUAUACCUUCAGUCAUUUUGAUUCUUGGAUAAAGUGAUCAACGAAAGUGGAACAUUCCUGGCAGGAAGGCACCACAGAUAGAGAUCUGGGAGGGCUGACUCUGGCAAAAAUUCUUACCC